rnacentral:tRNA from 1 species
AACAAAGAAGUAAAAGUUACAUUUAGUUUCGACCUAAAAAUAAGAAUUAAAUCUCAUGUUU